UUAAUAGAAAUAACGGAUGAAAAUGUCAAUUUCCUUGUUUUGGCGGAAUUAUUUUGGCAAUUGCAUGAGUUUUAUAAUUAAAAAGUUUUUUACCAAUUAAAAAUGAUUUAGUGUUGUAUUUGCAAAAUGUUAAAGUCAAAUUAAACCAUAAAAUUGUGAAAUAAUUAAGAAAAAUGCUAUAAAAACCUACAAUAAUGAAUUAUGAUCUACAGAAGUAAUCGCAUUGAAACCAAUCAAAUUUGUCAGAAUGAAAAGUGCAUAUGUAUAUGUUUGUAAAAUAGUUUGAGAUGUGCUGCUAAUCUUCCAGUAAAAAGGGUUGAGCUUUCACAUAAAGCUUAAAAGCGUGAAAGUUCUACUUAGAUUUGAACAUUCUUAGCACCGACUUUUAGCCCACCUAAAUUGUUGCAUUUAUUACAAUAUUCAGCAUUAUACAAUAUUUUAGAAAUAAGCUCAUUUACUGAAAUUUUUUAAAAAAGGACAUUCGAAAUAUUCGAAGGUUAUUAGUUCAAUUAACAACCAAUCAACUCCAAAAGAUGGAAUAAUCAUACUAUUUGACGCAAUUAAUUUGAUUUUUAGUUAAGCUUCGAUCUUUAUACCAAAAAGGUUGACUUAUCACUAACAAUAUCACAAACACCUUGAGUUCCAGUUUUUAGGAAUUGGUGGUUUUAUUUGAAACAGUCGAUUUAAAAACAAUCAACGAAAAAAAUUUCGAUUUCAAAAUGAUCAACGAACAUUUGGAGAUCAAAAAGAACGUUCCACAGACUGAGUAGUCAAUGGUGUUUAAAUCCCACUUUAGAAUAAUUGCUGAUAAUACUCAUCGCCACAUACUAAAAGAACAUAUUUUACUAGGUUCAGUGUUGGAAAAGGUCAAUUUAACCUAAUGUCAACCGAUUUACACACGAGUGGGCGAAGAAAACAUAGAAGACAUAGUUUCUUAAGGACGAUAUAGUAGAACCUAAUAUUGAGAAUACGGAUUAACAAUUUGUUUUGACCAAUGCAUU